UCUCAUCAAGUAUUAUGUUUGCGGGGUGAAUAAGACACUGGUCACUCCUGGACAAAGGAUGGUAAGGACCUUAAAUAUGCGACUUCUUACAAGUAGAGUAUCGUACUACCCGGCUGUGAUCAAUUGAUGUUUCCUUUUCCCGUACUUCUCCUGCCAUUUAACAAAAAAAUAAUCUGAAGAACCAUCUCAAUGAACCAGUCGAGGACAUGAUGGUCAGUCUCAGCGCUGGAGAUGUUACGAGACAGGUUUGGCGCAUAAGAGGAACACAAUAACAAAGCAAUUUGUCAGACUGUCAAGGCGGGAGAGAGAGUCUCAAAUGUGUGUCUUCGCCUUUAAAAUUGGAAGGGGGAAACCAACGCUCGCUCUCUAUAAUAAGCUUUAAAAAGCUAAGGUAGAAAACCACAAGUCUAUACAGAAAUCAUUAUAUGCCAUGUAUCUCCCGGACUAUUUGCAUCGGGUUCAUGUGAAGUACCGCCUAUGAAGUUGAUCGACAAGGCAAUUGAAUGGAGCUACUUUUCAGUAUGCCUAAUAGCUAUGGCUUUGUAGAUUUACGGUCUCUAUUGUCAUUGUGUUUGUAUUUUUCUUUUUUAUUAUGCUCUAACUCUUUG
rnacentral:lncRNA from 1 species